CAUCCUGCCAUUCCAACUGUCACUCUCUUGAGCUGAAAGGUUCAAACUUGAGUGCGGUGGGAACGUGCGUAUCGUCCUAUCCAGAGUGGUCCAUGAUGGGAAAUCUCAACUGCUGUCCAGCAGGAUCUUGUCUAAAGAGUUUUAGACGAAAAGGAAGUCAGGAGGUCAAGAACAUCGACUGUCCAUUCUGCACUGAAGGUCAGAAAAAUCUUUGUCUUGCCAAAGAACAGGAUACCCCCAACAAAGGAAUCAGUUGAAGCUGCUCCUGAGGACCUGGUGGAAGCGAUUCCGAGAGACAGAGCAGAGGAGGAAGUCACAUCUCUUGGCAAGGUAUGACUGGGGUUUUUGGUCACAGAAACAAAU